CGGCGGCGUCAGCAGUCUCUCUCCAGCUGCUCCCUGGUCUCUGCUCUGCUCCAGUGCUGGCAGAUGUACAGAAAGAAGAGGACGAGGAGGAGCAGGAGGAGCAACGACAGGAAGAAUGGGGCACAAGAAGGAAGAUACAUAUCAGGGAAGUUCUUCACAUGACAAUGAACUUCGUUUGUGGUGGCCUCUACUGGAAAUUGCUGUGGACCUUGACAUGGAGCACAGCCAUGAAGAGAAGAGGUAGUCAACCACCCACCCAAGCCAGCUAUUUGGAAGCACUGUAG
rnacentral:lncRNA from 1 species